CAGCGGAGGACUCUGGGUGACAAGCCCUGUGCUCCGCAGUUCUGCAUGUCCCGACCUGGCCCCUUGUCCGAGGCCUGGACACCAGAGAUAACGGAGUUUGCAACCCCGCGCAUAAAGAGAGGGGCCUCUGGGGUCCACGUAUCCUACCUCCAGGGAAGGUCAAGACUUGUCUUACUCUAAGCAGAAGGAGAUCCUGCUGUCUCACAUGUGAAUAGGAAGAGAAGGAGGCAGAGAAGUGGCAUUUCCUGGGCACUGACUCUGUGCCAGGCACCACCCAAGGCACUUCAGAGACACACAACCGAUUCUCCCUACGACCGUGUUGCUUCCCAAGAAGACCUGGACCCCAACUUGCACCAAGCCUUCUCUGCCACCCACCGUGUCAGCCCCCGGCGUGGCCUCAGUCUAAGGACCUCUGCACGCUGAUCCUGCCGGCCUGGGGUCGAUGCAUCCAGAAGGCGGAGAGAGCGGCAUCUCAGCCUUGGCUGACAGUCACUGGGCUCCACGGUGCAGAAAGAGCCUCCACUACCCAGACAGGCCUGGGGGGCCGGGGCUGCAGCACGGAGCUGCUUUCUGCACUCCUAUGCGGCCCCAUCCACGGAGUCCAGUCCCCAGCCGGCAACCAACCACGUGGGGUAAAUCGCUAAGUAACUGUAAGCUUCGUGGGAGCCGUGUCAGCUCAGUGCUUAGCAUGUACUUGGAGCUCCUGAAAUCUUUUAUUUUUGUCAGGUUUAUUGAGAUAUAACAUAUGGUAAAAAGCACUUUAAAAAGUGAGCAGUUGCAUGAGUAGUUUUGACAAUACACAGUCAUGUAUAUCAGCCACCACCGGGAUGCGGAACAUUUGCUGCAGCCAAAAACCUUCCCUCAUCAAUUUCCUCCCCAACCCUAGCUCCUGGC